rnacentral:rRNA from 1 species
UCCUACGGGAGGCAGCAGUGGGGAAUCUUGCACAAUGGGGGAAACCCUGAUGCAGCGAUGCCGCGUGAGUGAAGAAGGCCCUUGGGUUGUAAAACUCUUUCGUCGGGGAAGAAAAUGACUAUACCCGAAUAAGAAGGUCCGGUUAACUUCGUGCCAGCAGCCGCGGUAAUACGAAGGGACCUAGCGUAGUUCGGAAUUACUGGGCUUAAAGAGCUCGUAGGUGGUUAAAAAAGUUGAUGGUGAAAUCCCAAGGCUCAACCUUGGAACUGCCAUCAAAACUUUUUAGCUAGAGUGUGAUAGAGGUAAGUGGAAUUUCUAGUGUAGAGGUGAAAUUCGUAGAUAUUAGAAAGAACACCAAAUGCGAAGGCAACUUACUGGGUCACUACUGACACUGAGGAACGAAAGCGUGAGGAGCAAACAGGAUUAGAUACCCUGGUAGUCCACGCUGUAAACGAUGAGUGCUAGGCGUCGCGGGUAUUGACCCCUGCGGUGCCGUAGUUAACGCGUUAAGCACUCCGCCUGGGGAGUACGGCCGCAAGGUUAAAACUCAAAGGAAUUGACGG